AAAAGAGUUAGUCAUCGGGCCGAUUCAGCAGGGCACACAUUAGCUAGAUAUUGACCUGGGCUCCUUUCACACCAGGUCAUGCCAAGGGAUACUCUUCAUGUUCCUGGAGUCUCCCGAGGCACGCCCUCCUGCCCGGGCAUUUGUUCUCCACGGUCCCUGGGGAAAGCACCAGCUUUCACAUACUCCAAGUCCUCCACCUUGUGACAUCGAAAGAGGUAUCAACAGUUUAAAUCUGUGCACUGAGCAUGUGAAAAAUUCCAUUUCCCACCCGCCACAAAUUGUCUAAAAGACAGACUGAUUUUAUGACAAGAGUGUUUCUCUUCUCUAUUGUUUACUUUCUUUAGUUCCUGAUUCUUCAUUUUCACACAUUUUUAUGUGGCCUGAUACAUAAAUUCAACUUAACAGCAGCCAUUGUGUUUAGGAAGCCCAGAGAAUUCUUAUUUUCCAACUGUUCACCAGCAUUCUCUACUUGUGGAAAGUAAAACCCUUAGAGCCCAAUGUGACUUAUGCGCGGAUAUUUUUCAGAUAAUGGAGUAGCUACAAAUAACCGAUUUUCCUGUUUCUCCGAGCCUCUCCCUGACAGAUAAUGAAGUCAUAAAGGGCAUCAUGAUUUCAGUGCCGAUACUGGAACCUCGUGUUCAGAUUCAAACUCGCUUUGUUCUUGACUGUGUGACUGAAAGCUGGAAAAUAAGCUGUGACUCAAAUUUUUGUCUGGAUAAUUUAUAUUGUAAUUAGUUAACUAAUUAAUUAAUUUAUGAACAAGUUGUGGGUUGUUAGAUUUAAAUGGACACAACUGAGUGUAAGUUCUAACUUUUCCUUGUGAGACGGGACCCCUGGCUUCAGUUUCUGUGCAAAAUAAAAAUCGAG
rnacentral:lncRNA from 10 species